GAUGAACGCUGGCGGCGUGCCUAAUACAUGCAAGUCGAACGCUGGAAAUCUAGCUUGCUAGAUUGAAGGAGUGGCGAACGGGUGAGUAAUACAUAAGCAACCUACCCACGAAGACUGGGAUAAUCUCUGGAAACGGGGACUAAUACCGGAUAGGUAAUCGGAAGGCAUCUUCUGAUUAGUAAAGGUUAAAAACACUGGUGGAUGGGCUUAUGGCGCAUUAGUUAGUUGGUGAGGUAACGGCCCACCAAGACGAUGAUGCGUAGCCGGCCUGAGAGGGUGAACGGCCACAUUGGGACUGAGACACGGCCCAGACUCCUACGGGAGGCAGCAGUAGGGAAUUUUCGGCAAUGGGGGAAACCCUGACCGAGCAACGCCGCGUGAGUGAUGCCGGCCUUCGUGUUGUAAAGCUCUGUUGUAAGGGAAGAACGGUAGAUAGAGAAUAUCUAAAUGACGGUACCUUACCAGAAAGCCACGGCUAACUACGUG
rnacentral:rRNA from 1 species